rnacentral:lncRNA from 1 species
UCAUCUGCACAGCGCAGCAGAAAUCUGCUUCCAGCCUGGAGAACAGUCUCGUAUGUCUGGAAGUUGCUCUAGAACUCAAUGAGAACUUGGAUCCUGCAAGUUGACUUGUCUUCUUUACCUAAAUUUGCCAUUUGUUGGGCCACAAUUGUGUCCCAAAUGGCCAAGAUGGUAAGGAAAAGCAGGCUGCGUUGACUCGAGUCUGGCAAUGUGACCAGCAGACUAGUAGAGCCUGGAAGUAGGCCUGCUACUUGGCAGACUCUUGUUGGUAGGGCCCAUCUCUGAGGUGCCAGGAUUUGGAACUGUUGUUCAGGCUGGGCAAAGUCAGUGGAGAGAAGAGCAAAAACUCCAGCUACAGCUGAAAUUUCCUGCUUGGGGUUGUCAUUCUAGGAGGAAGAGUUUGCCAACUCGGGAUGCAGGCUUCACUGUGGAAGAUAUCUGCAUGUUGAGUGAGUCCUGUCCCC